rnacentral:lncRNA from 1 species
CCACCUGGGUCUUCCCCAGAACCCGGAUAACCCUCAGACAGACCAGGAUAACCCGAACCAGGAUCAUGCCUCAGGACCCCUUUUCACCCAUGUGAACCCGGAGGAGAAUCAAACCAUCAACCCCAAUGACGCCCGGGUCACUAUCGAAAUGAACCAAUACAAGUACACCGACGUACCAAUCACCACCCUCCACCUAUCAC